GAAGUAAAAGUCGUAACAAGGUUUCCGUAGGUGAACCUGCGGAAGGAUCAUUACAGAGUUCUCGCCUUAUAGUACAGGUAGAUCUCCCACCCUUGUGUAGUAAUACUAUGUUGCCUUGGCGGGCACGCCCGCCAAAGGACCCCAAAACUCUGAAUGUUAGUGUCGUCUGAGUACUAUAUAAUAGUUAAAACUUUCAACAACGGAUCUCUUGGUUCUGGCAUCGAUGAAGAACGCAGCGAAAUGCGAUAAGUAAUGUGAAUUGCAGAAUUCAGUGAAUCAUCGAAUCUUUGAACGCACAUUGCGCCCCUUGGUAUUCCGGGGGGCAUGCCUGUUCGAGCGUCAUUUCAACCCUCAAGCACUGCUUGGUAUUUGGGCCUCGCCGGCGACGGCGGGCCCUAAAGACAGUGGCGGCGCCGCUGGGCCCUGAGCGUAGUAAAUCUCUCGCUACAGGGUCCCCGCGCGCUCUCGCCAUCAACCCCCAAUUUUUCUAUGGUUGACCUCGGAUCAGGUAGGGAUACCCGCUGAACUUAAGCAUAUC
rnacentral:sRNA from 1 species